rnacentral:rRNA from 1 species
GUGGGCCUACGGGACGCAGCAGUGAGGAAUAUUGGUCAAUGGGCGAGAGCCUGAACCAGCCAAGUCGCCUGAGGGAGUACUGCCCUAUGGGUUGUAAACCUCUUUUGUCGGGGAGCAAAAGCCGGACGUGUCCGGCUGUGAGAGUACCCGAAGAAAAAGCAUCGGCUAACUCCGUGCCAGCAGCCGCGGUAAUACGGAGGAUGCGAGCGUUAUCCGGAUUUAUUGGGUUUAAAGGGUGCGCAGGCGGAUUUUUAAGUCAGCGGUCAAAUCGUGGGGCUCAAACCCAUCCAGCCGUUGAAAAUGGG